rnacentral:rRNA from 1 species
UGACGAAGCGACGCCGCGUGUGGGAAGAAGGCCUUCGGGUUGUAAACCACUGUCGGGAGUUAGGAAAUGUAGGAGCGUUAAUAGCGCACCUGCUUGACUAAGGCUCCAAAGGAAGCCACGGCUAACUCUGUGCCAGCAGCCGCGGUAAUACAGAGGCGGCAAGCGUUGUUCGGAAUUAUUGGGCGUAAAGAGCACGUAGGCGGCCUUGCAAGUCAGUUGUGAAAGCCUUCCGCUUAACGGGAGAACGGCAUCUGAUACUACAGGGCUUGAGUACGGGAGGGGAGAGUGGAACUUCUGGCGGAGCGGUGAAAUGCGUAGAUAUCAGAAGGAACGCCGGCGGCGAAAGCGACUCUCUGGUCCGAAACUGACGCUGAGGUGCGAAAGCUAGGGGAGCAAACGGGAUUAGAUACCCCGGUAGUCCUAGCCGUAAACGAU